CCAACUAAGUUUGUUCUUGGUAUGAGCUUUCGUGUGCAUGCACGAAAUAUCUGGUAUCUGAAGAAGUGUGCAUGCACACGGAAGCUCACACCAAGAACAAACUUAGUUGG